UACGGUAACCGUGGAGUCUAGGUCAACAAUUACUAUUUCUCAUCCAAGCCGUUUUUGUUUAACUGCUACACAUUCCCUGACUCUGCCAAGGAAAAGGGUAAAAUCAAAAUGAUAUCCUGAGGACCUAAGCACUGAUGAUUCCACCGUUUCAAGAGCUUAAUCACUUGUCACCAGAUUAUGGAAAAAAAAUAAAGAACAAAAAAUUAAAAUUCGAAGAUUGCAACAAGCAAAUUUGCGCCAAAGAAAUUAAAUUAGAUGUCUCAAGUCAUUAUUAAAAUACUUACAUGAAAUAAUAACAUGAUUUUAUGGAAAAGCCCAACAUACUACAUAUUUUAUUUGACUUGUAAAAGCACUUGUUUGUAUAUUACUACUAAUAAACUCUCUAAUCUAAUCUAUUGUA